rnacentral:rRNA from 1 species
UAGCCUACGGGGGGCAGCAGCCGCGGUAAUACGGAGGAUGCGAGCGUUAUCCGGAUUUAUUGGGUUUAAAGGGUGCGUAGGCGGGACGGUAAGUCAGCGGUACAAAUGCGGAGCUCAACUCCGUCGAGCCGUUGAAACUGUCGUUCUUGAGUGAGCGAGAAGUAUGCGGAAUGCGUGGUGUAGCAGUGAAAUGCAUAGAUAUCACGCAGAACUCCGAUUGCGAAGGCAGCAUACCGGCGCUCAACUGACGCUGAAGCACGAAGGCGUGGGUAUCGAACAGGAUUAGAUACCCUUGUAGUCCAACA